rnacentral:rRNA from 1 species
GACGAACGCUGGCGGCGUGCUUAACACAUGCAAGUCGAACGAUGAAGCGGGUGCUUGCACUCGUGGAUUAGUGGCGAACGGGCGAGUAACACGUGAGUAACCUGUCCUUUUCUUUGGGAUAACGGCUGGAAACGGCUGCUAAUACUGGAUAUUCAGGCUGCAUCGCAUGGUGUGGUUUGGAAAGGUUUUUUCUGGGAUUGGGUGGGCUCGCGGCCUAUCAGCUUGUUGGUGGGGUGAUGGCUUACCAAGGCUUUGACGGGUAGCCGGCCUGAGAGGGUGCUCGGUCGCACUGGGACUGAGAUACGGCCCAGACUCCUACGGGAGGCAGCAGUGGGGAAUAUUGCACAAUGGACGAAAGUUUGAUGCAGCGACGCCGCGUGGAGGGUGUAGGCCUUCGGGUUGUGAACUCCUUUUUCUCGCGAAAAAGGCACAGUUUUGGCUGUGUUGAUGGUAGUGGGGGAAGAAGCGCCGGCUAACUACGUG